UGAAAGAAAAUAAAAGGGUUUAAAGCUUUGUUUCAUUCGGCACUUUCAAGUUUUGAUUAAGAUCAAGAACGGAAGAAAACGGAAUUAGAUCAGGGGAAGUCGAAAGUAGUCGAAUAGUCGAUUAUACAGUCCGUCGACAUCCGAGAUUUUGGAGUCGCGUUACGAGCUCGGGGAUCAUCAGAAUAGUCUAUCACACUAUCGACUUCUUUUGAUCAAGAAAAGAGGAAAUCAGAUUUGGAUCGGGAGAAAACUAAAGUUGUUGAAUAGUCGUCCCGGUCCGUUCGUCUUCGUCUGAGAUUUUGGAAGCUAGUUACGAGCUCAGGGAUCGUCAAGGAAAUCCGUCACACUAUCGAACACUAUUUUUGUAUUUUAAAAGCUUGAACUAUGAACUUAUGGCAUGUAUAGUUUAGCAUUUGUUUUGGUUGGAUUUGAAAGUGUAUACAUGUAUAAGCUAGUCUUAUUGUGUUUGAGUUUGAAAUUGUAUAUAUAUAUGCCAUGCAAAAAUGGCUUGAUCA